rnacentral:hammerhead_ribozyme from 1 species
AUCCAACUGACGAGUCUCAAAUAGGACGAAACGUGCGUCAAACUGAAA